rnacentral:rRNA from 1 species
GGGCCCGCACAAGCGGAGGAGCAUGUGGUUUAAUUCGAUGAUACGCGAGGAACCUUACCUGGGCUUAAAUGUCAUGCGACCAUUUCUGAAAAGAGAUUUCUCUUCGGAGCGAAUGGCAAGGUGCUGCAUGGCUGUCGUCAGCUCGUGCCGUGAGGUGUUGGUUAAGUCCCGCAACGAGCGCAACCCCUAUCUUUAGUUGCCAUCAGGUUAUGCUGGGGACUCUAGAGAAACUGCCUACGUAAGUAGUGAGGAAGGCGGGGACGACGUCAAGUCAUCAUGGCCCUUACGCCCAGGGCUACACACGUGCUACAAUGGUAAGUACAAUGAGAUGCCACUUGGUAACAAGGCGCAAA